AGAGAGCACUUGGAGCAGCCUGAUAGAUGACCGAAGAAGCUUAUCGCUGGAGAAGCUCGGGAGAUGCGGCAGGAGUUCGUCCGUCAGGAGAAUCCGUUCGACACUUGUGGAAGAAGCUGUGGGAGUUUAACCAUCGGCAGAACUUGGGAACAUUGCGGAAGCUCGGCCGUCGGAGAGGUUCAGAAAGAUGUCGCCCAAGGUUGGACGUUGGCAGAGUCCCGGGAGGGUCACUCCUGGCACGAACUUUGGCUGGGAGGUAUUUUAUACCCAACACCAGUCCCCCUACUUUCGAGUUCGAGUUUCGAAUG
rnacentral:lncRNA from 1 species